rnacentral:misc_RNA from 1 species
GAUGAAGAACGUGGCGAAAUGCGAUAAGUAAUGUGAAUUGCAGAAUUCAGUGAAUCAUCGAAUCUUUGAACGCACAUUGCGCCCGUCAGUAUUCUGGCGGGCAUGCCUGUUCGAGCGUCAUUACGCCCCUCAAGUCCCCUGUGGACUUGGUGUUGGGGAUCGGCGAGGCUGGUUUUCCAGCACAGCCGUCCCUUAAAUUAAUUGGCGGUCUCGCCGUGGCCCUCCUCUGCGCAGUAGUAAAACACUCGCAACAGGAGCCCGGCGCGGUCCACUGCCGUAAAACCCCCCAACUUUUUAUAGUUGACCUCGAAUCAGGUAGGACUACCCGCUGAACUUAAGCAUAUCAAUAAGCGGAGGA